ensembl:lncRNA
GUCAGAAUGACAAAGCAAAAAUCCAGUCCUCGCGCAGCCCCGGCAACCUGUGCCUGUCGUCCCCGCAAAGUGAGAGCUCCUAAUUGGACCGUGCAACAUCCUCGCUGCCCGGAACCGCCCCCCGACCCAAAGGCCGCCGCUGCUAUUCAAAGAAUGUUGGGAACCAGAACCCAGUAAGAGUGUGUGGAAAUGUGGUAUCGUAGCUCAGACAACGUCGAAAAAUCCUUCUGUUUCUCAACUAUCGUCUCGGCUAAGACCGGAGUCCUGCUGCCUCAACACCAAUGUAAACACCCAUCUGCAGAGGGUGCCAGCUACAGUAAUCACUAUGGAACCUCCUUCUCUCUAGGGCCCUGAGAUCAAGUCCAGCUUUCUCAAUGGUCCAGACAAGGCAAGACCCACCCUUCUUUGGGGAGGUUUGUUUGUUUUGUUUGGUCAAAACAGAGUUUCUCUGUGUAACCCUGGCUGUCCUGGAACUUGCUCUCUGAACCAGGCUGGCCUCAAACUCAGAGAUCUGCCUGCCUCUGCCUCCCAAGUUCUGGGAUUAAUAAAGGUGUGUGCUGCUUCCCCCCAACCCUCACUCUUACCCCCUGGCUAAGAGCCACUCCUGUUAGUGCUGCUCACCCGUCCACAUCGUCUGUACCCUACUUGGGCAGCAAACCAUUGCUGGAGAAACACAGAGAGUAGGUCAGGACCACAAACCUCAAAUCUGUCCCUGCCAGCAAUCCUUUCUCCCUGUCAUAUUUCCCCAGCCGCCACAAUGACUCUUCCAUUUUUUCCUUCUUUUUCUUUUGAAUCUCUAACAGCACUGCCACAUCUUGCCCUCCCUCUGCUCAUGACCUGGUUUCAACUUUAAGAAACCAGAAUCCACCAGACAGGCCUUCCCAGCAUUUUCCCAGGAAAAUGGCUCCCAGUAGAAGAAAACCAAGGUUUGUGGCCAUUGGCUCUUGCCAUCUCCAUUCAACAUCUCCCUUGGUCACCGUCAAUUUCUUGUUCCGUGCCUGAUCAUUUCUGUCGUCAUGCAAACACACUGUGCACCUCUCGUUCCAAGAAAGCUGUCGCCGCAUCCUUUCACAAGGCAAUUGGGUGAGGCGGGUGUUGGAAGAGCUCUCUACACUCCGAAGAACAAUAAAGGAAGCAAAAAAGCAGGAAACUGUCUGAGGAUGUGCCUGCUAAAGGGAAAAGAUGGCGUGCACCAUGCAUGGGACACAAGAAACAAAGAAGUGCCAAGGGGAGAGCUCACUGCACUCACCCAGUGGGGCAGCCAGAGAGCCAGGACGACAUGGUAGAAAGGAAGCAAAAAGCCAGGAGGGGAAAAGGCAGAAGCUGUAAAGGCUUGAACUAGUGAGGCAGCACCUGCCUCUGAGGGUAAACACGGGUUAGGAAUGGGAGAAAGUGAGAGAUGAGAACCUACGAUCCAGAUGUCGGCCUUGGCAGCUGGGGGAAAAAUGUUUUCCACAGGACAAAUGUCAGGGGGUCUCCUACAGUUCCAGAGAGGUGAAUUUCACUUUUCAGAGCACGGUCCAUCUCAAGGGGAAGCUGGGACAACAGGGAAAACACCCUGGUCGUCUGAAUGGAAUUCCGUCUGUAAUCUUCUUGGGAAGUGCCUGGAGCGUGGGGAAUGCCCAAAUGUGCUGGUCCACAAGCUCCACUGAGAGCACAGAAGGGAACCAGAUGCUGGUGUGCCAUCACAGGAGAGGGCUCCUAAGCCGAGCGGCCUUAACCCAAAGCCUGAGAAAUAACAGACAAAGAGAACGGAGCUGAGAACGGUGAGAGGAGCUGAGUUUGUUGGCCCUCAGCUACGAGAACAGGGCCGAGGCUACCCCAGCGCUAUAAUACUGAGCUACCUCACCAGCAAAAUGUCCCAGGCGGAGCAAGCAACAGGCAAAAAGGACGUGGGGUUUUAUGCUGUAGAAAUCUUCCCAUGCUGUUAGGCUGCUGUGAAUCAUGUUUAUGGACGACUAAUGGCGCGGGAGUCAGCCAUGCUCUGACGAUGUCUCAGGAACCGAGGGAGGCGUUUUAUAGGAACUCUCAUCCCAUCUCCAUGUUACAGGUGAGGGAACUAGAACCUCCAGAGCCCUCGACUUGUGACUGUGACUAAUGGUCACGACAAAGCAGGACUCGACUCACUUACAGAGAAGAGAAGGCUCCUUCAUGCUGGUUUAGUAGUGUGAGACCAACUGACUCAAUAAAGUUGACACUAUGGAGAUCUUCAUCUAAAUCUGCUCAAUUCACAACUAAACAGUUGGAGAAGGGGGCAUUAAUUAAUUACUACAGUAUAGACAGUAUUACCUUGAUUUGAAUAUUACCUGAAUUUGAACAACCCGACCAGAGUGGACGAGGGCUGGAUGGACCUCAGUAGUAACAAACUUGCCUCCCAUAUACAAGUGCCUGGGUUUGCCCCCAGCCCCACAGGAAGAUAAAAUAAGGAGAACAACCUAGAUGGGACAUACUAUUUCCUUCUGGCAUGAACUGGACCCCGAUGUGUAUGGUACAGCGAUGUGUUUUCUUUGUUCUACUUAAGAGCAUCCUUUUGAGAAAUAGGAAGGUUGUUUUCAGCCCGACUCCGGGUACGUUUGGGUACAGAAAUGUGCCCAAGAAGAGGAAGAUAUGUAUAAAUUCUUAUGUGAGUGUUAUGAUAUCACUGAUAUCCACUCCUCUUCAUCCAUUUAUACAAGAGCAGAACACACACUGGAAAAGCAGAGGCAGGAGGAUGACUGUUUGAGUCUAGUCCUGGGCUACAAAAAGAGCUCCAGGCCAGCCUGGGCUACAAUGUGAAACACUGUCUCAAAAAAAAAAAAACAAAAACAAAAACAAAAAAUAAAUGAAAGUAAAGAGCAAAGCACAUCCUGAGACCCCAGCAAGUGUAG